AGAGUUUGAUCCUGGCUCAGAACGAACGCUGGCGGCAGGCCUAACACAUGCAAGUCGAGCGCCCAGCAAUGGGAGCGGCGGACGGGUGAGUAACACGUGGGAAUUUUCCUCAAGGUACGGAACAACUCAGGGAAACUUGGGCUAAUACCGUAUGAUGCAGAGAUGCCAAAGAUUUAUCGCCUUGGGAUAAGCCCGCGUCAGAUUAGGUAGUUGGUGAGGUAACGGCUCACCAAGCCUGUGAUCUGUAGCUGGUCUGAGAGGACGAUCAGCCACAUUGGGACUGAGACACGGCCCAAACUCCUACGGGAGGCAGCAGUGGGGAAUCUUGCGCAAUGGGCGAAAGCCUGACGCAGCCAUGCCGCGUGAAUGAUGAAGGUCUUAGGAUUGUAAAGUUCUUUCGCUCGUGACGAUGAUGACGGUAACGAGAGAAGAAGCCCCGGCUAACUUCGUGCCAGCAGCCGCGGUAAUACGAAGGGGGCUAGCGUUGUUCGGAAUUACUGGGCGUAAAGCGCGCGUAGGCGGCUUUGCAAGCCAGAGGUGAAAUGCCUGAGCUCAACUUAGGAAUUGCCUUUGGGACUGCGAGGCUUCGAGGACUGGAGAGGUGAGUGGAAUUCCCAGUGUAGAGGUGAAAUUCGUAGAUAUUGGGAAGAACACCGGUGGCGAAGGCGGCUCACUGGCCAGUUUCUGACGCUAAAGCGCGAAAGCGUGGGGAUCAAACAGGAUUAGAUACCCUGGUAGUCCACGCUGUAAACGAUGAGUGCUAGGCGUCGGCACGCUUGCGUGUCGGUGCCGCAGCUAAC
rnacentral:rRNA from 1 species